rnacentral:rRNA from 1 species
UACGAAGGGGGCGAGCGUUGUUCGGAAUUACUGGGCGUAAAGAGCUCGUAGGUGGUUUGUCGCGUUGUUCGUGAAAACUCACAGCUCAACUGUGGGCGUGCGGGCGAUACGGGCAGACUAGAGUACUGCAGGGGAGACUGGAAUUCCUGGUGUAGCGGUGGAAUGCGCAGAUAUCAGGAGGAACACCGGUGGCGAAGGCGGGUCUCUGGGCAGUAACUGACGCUGGAGGAGCGAAAGCGUGGGGAGCGAACAGG